rnacentral:lncRNA from 1 species
AAUAAAAAAUUAAAGGGUAAAUUUCAAAUACCAGUGGUUUCACACUUUCUCAAUUUAGUAGACUGGUUUAAACUGUAUCAAAUUAGUGUUUCGUGAUUUUAUUUUUAUCUUUUCGUCAGUUUAUCUUUUAAUAUUUUUUUGAAUUAUAUACAAAAAAACUUCAGAUACCUCAUCUAGAUUUAUCUAAUAUUCACUUUAGUGGACUUUAGUUUUAACUUUGUCGCUUAUUUAACAAAAAAAUUAGUAGAAUUGAUAAUAAAAAAAUAAAAAUAAAACCACAAGGCACUAAAUUGAUACAUUUUAAAUCACAGAAUACUAAAGUGAGAAAAUAUGAAACCACGUAGGUGAUAUUUGAAGUUUUUCUA